UUCAGACGAAGUAAAUGUUGAAGUUCUCUAACUUCAUAACCACAUACUAAAUGUACUUCGUUUAUAUGGAUUUGAGCUCAAACUAAACUCAGGUGACUUAAAACUUUCAUCUUUGCAAGAGUUACACCUUGAGGCUUCAUUUCUGGAUGAGCAAUUACUUCAAUAUCUAUGCACAACUUGUAAUCAUUUACAAGUUUUGUCUUUGAAGGGAUUUCAUGGAGACAUGGACUAAACAUCAUAGAGAUUUCUGUUGCUAAACACCAUGAAGAUCUCAAGUGCUUGGCAAUCAUUGCGUGUGAUAAUUUGGUUGUGGUUGAUGUGGAUGCUCCUAACUUAUUUGUAUUCACAUAUCAUGUUCAUUAUGGAACCACACUCAAACUGAAAGGUUCACAUUUGCUGGAAGCUCAUCUCACCUUGAUCCUAAAAACCAUUGACUCUCAUUGGUACUCUAAGCUCACAAAGUCUCUUGGUAACUUUGAUCAUUCCAAGUCUGUUAAUCUACGAUGCGAUUGUGAUGAGGUGAUAGUUAUACCAAAAGACAUGAGAGGAAACUUCAAUCCUCCACUUUAUGCUACUAAUGGUUUCCAUGUAAACAUUCAUAAUCUAGUGAAGCAUUCAGUUGUGGACGUUCUUGAUAGUUUGUUUUGGAUUUCUCCCCAACUCAGAACUGUAUCUUUUGACUAUGGCUUACAGACCAUGAAGUGUUAAUAUACAGAGAUGCAUCAGAUAAGGAUGAGAAACCUUGUUGUACAUGCGCAUCUCUACCUUUGAAAUGUUGAAGGCAUAAGUUAGAGGAAGUCAAAUUACGAAACUUUACGAGCAUGGAGCUGGAGAAGUUGAAAAACUAUUUUUUCACAAAUGCAGAUGAUUUGUAGAUAAUUUAAGUACCACCAGAAUGCAGACUUUGAGCCAAAUUCGUCCAUUACAAAAUUCCUUGGUUUUUCUGUGUUUUUGUUGCGUCUGGGGCUGUCUGAAUAAACUUCAGCAUGUCUCCAUAUUAUCAGCCCAUUGAGUAAUUUUCAU